rnacentral:lncRNA from 1 species
CUUGACAGUGAGGAGCUGCUCUCCUCCGUCGCCGCCGUCCGCGCUGGUCCCCGCGGCGCCGCCGCUGCUGCCACCCUCCUCCUCCAUCUUCUCCUUUUUUUCCGAUCCCGCGGGUCGCUACGAGGGGAACCCAGGAGACAGCGGACGCCCGUCCCCUCGCAGCCGCUGCCGCGGCCCCAGGAGUCGGGGUGCGGCGGCUCCAGAACUCGGACGCAAAGACGAGUCUCUUUCCCGCUCUGGCCGCACGGCUCGCUCCUCGCCUCCUCCCCCUUCGGCGGGCACCGCUAGUACCGCGCAACCAAACCGCCCCCUGCUCCACCGCCGCCUCCUCAGGCCGCUCCGCCCACAGCCAGCAAGGAGCCAAGUUACACCCUGUUUAACCCUGCCUUCAAAGGGACGACUCUGUAAGAUUCUCUGCUACUUAUUCAAGUUGACACGAUGCCCUUCACACUCCACCUGAGGUCCCGCCUUCCCUCUGCCAUAAGGAGUUUGAUUCUACAAAAGAAACCAAACAUCAGAAAUACAUCCAGCAUGGCUGGAGAGCUCCGACCAGCCAGCCUGGUGGUCCUGCCCAGGUCCCUUGCUCCAGCUUUUGAAAGAUUCUGCCAGGUCAACACUGGUCCUCUACCCCUGCUGGGCCAGAGUGAGCCAGAAAAGUGGAUGCUGCCCCCUCAAGGUGCUAUCUCAGAGACCAGCCUCAGGGACCUUCACAGUGCCUGGCACAGAACCUCACUCAUGACUGUUGCUCAGGAACGAGCUGCCCUCCCCACUGUUCUGACUCCUUCCCCUAUCACCUGGCGCCUGUCCUGGCUGAGAUCUUUGAGAUCAUGGAGAAAGUCCAGCCCUGGAGAAAUCCCACUGGCUCUGCCAUCUGUCCACUCCAUCGCCCAAGCCAGAAACCCGCCUGUACAGGAUUAAGAAGAAAAUAAAAAACACUUGCAUUACCAAC